UUAAAAAUGUAAUGCAAGUUGCUUUGGAUAAAAGCGUCUGCUAAAUGACCUGUG
rfam:Gasterosteus aculeatus cont1.011766, whole genome shotgun sequence.